GUUGUCCAGAAUAGAAUUUUAGUUCAACUUUAAAUUUUCCUAAAGGACACCCAACCCUAAUGAAAGUUUAAAUGUUAUUCUAAAGAGGGACAGCUCUUUAGAAACAGGAUACAGCCUUUUAUAAAGAGUAAGUCAUUUUAAACCCAUAGUUGGCCUAAAAGCAGCCAUCAAUUAAGAAAGCGUUAAAGCUCAACAAUCAAAAUCAACUUAAUUCCUAUAUUUAAGAACGAACUCUUAUAAUCCCUUAACUGGACUAAUCUAUAAAUUUAUAGAAGAAAUAAUGCUAAUAUGAGUAACAAGAAUUCUAUUCUCCUUGCACAAGCCUAUAUCAGAUCGGAUACCCGCUGAUAGUUAACAACUAGUAAUAGAAAAACUCUACAAAUUAAUCCUCUAUUAACUUUUACUGUUGACCCAACACAGGUGUGCACUAUAGGAAAGAUUAAAAGAAGGAAAAGGAACUCGGCAAACUCUAACCCCGCCUGUUUACCAAAAACAUCACCUCUAGCAUUACUAGUAUUAGAGGCACUGCCUGCCCAGUGACAAACGUUUAACGGCCGCGGUAUCCUG
rnacentral:rRNA from 1 species